UCCGGGGAAGUUCUGCGGCAGGAACGCUCGGCUGGUACCGAGAAGGCGCUGGUUCGAAUCCAGCCUCCGGAUCC
rnacentral:tRNA from 1 species